rnacentral:rRNA from 1 species
AUGGAGCUUAAGACCUAGUGUAGAUUAUGAAAAAUGCUUUUAAUCAAGAAAGAAACAGCCAAGUAGCCACUACACAACUGUCUUUGGUUGGGGCGACCGCGGGGAAAAACAAAACCCCCAUGAGGACUGAGAGUUUUACUCCCAAAACCAAGAGCUACAGCUCUAAGUAUCAAAAAUUUUGACCUAAAUGAUCCGGGCAACCGAUCAACGAACCGAGUUACCCUAGGGAUAACAGCGCAAUCCCCUUCCAGAGCCCAUAUCGACAAGGGGGUU